rnacentral:rRNA from 1 species
UACGGAGGGUGCGAGCGUUAAUCGGAAUCACUGGGCGUAAAGCGCGCGUAGGCGGCUUUUCAAGUCAGGGGUGAAAUCCCACGGCCCAACCGUGGAACUGCCUUUGAAACUGUAGAGCUUGAGUGUCGGAGAGGGUGGCGGAAUUCCAGGUGUAGGAGUGAAAUCCGUAGAUAUCUGGGGGAACACCGGUGGCGAAGGCGGCCACCUGGACGACAACUGACGCUGAGGUGCGAAAGCGUGGGUAGCAAACAGG